GAGCGANCGGGAAANNNNNNCAAAUUUAUAAUCUGGCACCUUCGGUGUCCGAGUUGUAAUCUCUAGAAGUGUUUUCCGCGUUGGACCGCACACAAGUCUGUUGGAAUACAGCGGCAUAGUGGUGAAACCCCCGUAUAUGGUGCGGACGCCCAGCGCUUUGUGAUACACUUUCAAUGAGUCGAGUUGUUUGGGAAUGCAGCUCAAAUUGGGUGGUAAAUUCCAUCUAAAGCUAAAUAUUGGCGAGAGACCGAUAGCGAACAAGUACCGUGAGGGAAAGAUGAAAAGCACUUUGGAAAGAGAGUUAACAGUACGUGAAAUUGUUGGAAGGGAAACGCUUGAAGUCAGACUUGCUUGCCGGAGCUUGCUUCGGUUUGCAGGCCAGCAUCAGUUUUCCGGGGUGGAUAAUGACGGUUUGAAGGUAGCAGUCUCGGCUGUGUUAUAGCUUUCCGUUGGAUACAUCCUGGGGGACUGAGGAACGCAGCGUGCUUUUUGCGAAAGACUCGUCUUUUUCACGCUUAGGAUGCUGGUGGAAUGGCUUUAAACGACCCGUCUUNAA
rnacentral:rRNA from 1 species